UAAAUGCAGUCGACGGUAACAGGAAGAGCUUGCUGCUUUGCUGACGAGUGGCGGACGGGUGAGUAAUGUCUGGGAAACUGCCUGAUGGAGGGGGAUAACUACUGGAAACGGUAGCUAAUACCGCAUAACGUCGCAAGACCAAAGAGGGGGACCUUCGGGCCUCUUGCCAUCGGAUGUGCCCAGAUGGGAUUAGCUAGUAGGUGGGGUAACGGCUCACCUAGGCGACGAUCCCUAGCUGGUCUGAGAGGAUGACCAGCCACACUGGAACUGAGACACGGUCCAGACUCCUACGGGAGGCAGCAGUGGGGAAUAUUGCACAAUGGGCGCAAGCCUGAUGCAGCCAUGCCGCGUGUAUGAAGAAGGCCUUCGGGUUGUAAAGUACUUUCAGCGGGGAGGAAGGGAGUAAAGUUAAUACCUUUGCUCAUUGACGUUACCCGCAGAAGAAGCACCGGCUAACUCCGUGCCAGCAGCCGCGGUAAUACGGAGGGUGCAAGCGUUAAUCGGAAUUACUGGGCGUAAAGCGCACGCAGGCGGUUUGUUAAGUCAGAUGUGAAAUCCCCGGGCUCAACCUGGGAACUGCAUCUGAUACUGGCAAGCUUGAGUCUCGUAGAGGGGGGUAGAAUUCCAGGUGUAGCGGUAA
rnacentral:rRNA from 1 species